UACCGCCUACGGGGCGCAGCAGUGGGGAUAUUGCACAAUGGGGGGAACCCUGAUGCAGCGACGCCGCGUGGGUGAAGAAGCGCCUCGGCGCGUAAAGCCCUGUCAGCAGGGCAGAAAAUGACGGUACCUGAAGAAGAAGCCCCGGCUAACUACGUGCCAGCAGCCGCGGUAAUACGUAGGGGGCAAGCGUUAUCCGGAUUUACUGGGUGUACAGGGGGCGCAGACGGCGAUGCAAGCCCGUAGGGAAAGCCCGGGGCCCAACCCCUGGACUGGUCUUGGAACUGCGAGGC
rnacentral:rRNA from 1 species